rnacentral:rRNA from 1 species
CAUGCAAGUCGAGCGAUGAAGCUUCCUUCGGGAAGUGGAUUAGCGGCGGACGGGUGAGUAACACGUGGGUAACCUGCCUCAAAGUGGGGGAUAGCCUUCCGAAAGGAAGAUUAAUACCGCAUAAUAUAAGAGAAUCGCAUGAUUUUCUUAUCAAAGAUUUAUUGCUUUGAGAUGGACCCGCGGCGCAUUAGCUAGUUGGUAAGGUAACGGCUUACCAAGGCAACGAUGCGUAGCCGACCUGAGAGGGUGAUCGGCCACAUUGGAACUGAGACACGGUCCAGACUCCUACGGGAGGCAGCAGUGGGGAAUAUUGCGCAAUGGGGGAAACCCUGACGCAGCAACGCCGCGUGGGUGAUGAAGGUCUUCGGAUUGUAAAGCCCUGUUUUCUAGGACGAUAAUGACGGUACUAGAGGAGGAAGCCACGGCUAACUACGUGCCAGCAGCCGCGGUAAUACGUAGGUGGCGAGCGUUGUCCGGAUUUACUGGGCGUAAAGGGUGCGUAGGCGGAUGUUUAAGUGGGAUGUGAAAUCCCCGGGCUUAACCUGGGGGCUGCAUUCCAAACUGGAUAUCUAGAGUGCAGGAGAGGAAAGCGGAAUUCCUAGUGUAGCGGUGAAAUGCGUAGAGAUUAGGAAGAACACCAGUGGCGAAGGCGGCUUUCUGGACUGUAACUGACGCUGAGGCACGAAAGCGUGGGUAGCAAACAGGAUUAGAUACCCUGGUAGUCCACGCCGUAAACGAUGGAUACUAGGUGUAGGGGGUAUCAACUCCCCCUGUGCCGCAGUUAACACAAUAAGUAUCCCGCCUGGGGAGUACGGUCGCAAGAUUAAAACUCAAAGGAAUUGACGGGGGCCCGCACAAGCAGCGGAGCAUGUGGUUUAAUUCGAAGCAACGCGAAGAACCUUACCUGGACUUGACAUCCCUUGCAUAGCCUAGAGAUAGGUGAAGCCCUUCGGGGCAAGGAGACAGGUGGUGCAUGGUUGUCGUCAGCUCGUGUCGUGAGAUGUUAGGUUAAGUCCUGCAACGAGCGCAACCCUUGUUAUUAGUUGCUACCAUUAAGUUGAGCACUCUAAUGAGACUGCCUGGGUAACCAGGAGGAAGGUGGGGAUGACGUCAAAUCAUCAUGCCCCUUAUGUCCAGGGCUACACACGUGCUACAAUGGUAGGUACAAUAAGACGCAAGACCGUGAGGUGGAGCAAAACUUAUAAAACCUAUCUCAGUUCGGAUUGUAGGCUGCAACUCGCCUACAUGAAGCUGGAGUUGCUAGUAAUCGCGAAUCAGAAUGUCGCGGUGAAUACGUUCCCGGGCCUUGUACACACCGCCCGUCACACCAUGAGAGCUGGUAACACCCGAAGUUUUUGAGGUAACCGUAAGGAGCCAGCGGCCGAAGGUGGGAUUAGUGAUUGGGGUGAAGU